rnacentral:rRNA from 1 species
CGGAGGAAAGAAACCAACAGGGAUUGCCCCAGUAACUGCGAGUGAAGCGGCAAGAGCUCAAAGUUGAAAUCUGUGUCCCUUGCGGGGCACCGAGUUGUAAUUUGCAGGGAUGGCUUCGGGGUGGGACCGCGUCGCAAGUUCCUUGGAACAGGACGUCAUGGAGGGUGAGAAUCCCGUGUCGAUGGGGGUCCCAACCCAUGUGAAGUGUUUCCAAAGAGUCGAGUUGUUUGGGAAUGCAGCUCAAAAUGGGUGGUAAAUUUCAUCUAAAGCUAAAUACCGGCGAGAGACCGAUAGCGCACAAGUAGAGUGAUCGAAAGAUGAAAAGCACUUUGAAAAGAGAGUGAGAAAGUACGUGAAAUUGUUGAAAGGGAAGCGCUUGCGACCAGACUCAAACAUUUGGUGAUCAGCUGGACUUCUGUCCGGUGCCCUCGCCACUGAUUGGGCCAGCAUCGGUUCCGACGGUGGGAUAAAAGAGGGAGGAACGUGGCUGCCUCCGGGGAGCGUUAUAGCCUCCUUCACAAUGCCAUCGGUCGGGACCGAGGACCGCGCUUCGGCCAGGAUGCUGGUGUAAUGGGCUCAAGCGACCCGUCUUGAAAC